rnacentral:rRNA from 1 species
AGGAAUAUUGGUCAAUGGACGAGAGUCUGAACCAGCCAAGUAGCGUGAAGGAUGACUGCCCUAUGGGUUGUAAACUUCUUUUAUACGGGAAUAAAGUGAGGCACGUGUGCCUUUUUGUAUGUACCGUAUGAAUAAGGAUCGGCUAACUCCGUGCCAGCAGCCGCGGUAAUACGGAGGAUCCGAGCGUUAUCCGGAUUUAUUGGGUUUAAAGGGAGCGUAGGCGGACGCUUAAGUCAGUUGUGAAAGUUUGCGGCUCAACCGUAAAAUUGCAGUUGAUACUGGGUGUCUUGAGUACAGUAGAGGCAGGCGGAAUUCGUGGUGUAGCGGUGAAAUGCUUAGAUAUCACGAAGAACUCCGAUUGCGAAGGCAGCUUGCUGGACUGUAACUGACGCUGAUGCUCGAAAGUGUGGGUAUCAAACAGGAUUAGAUACCCUGGUAGUCCACACAGUAAACGAUGAAUACUCGCUGUUUGCGAUAUACAGUAAGCGGCCAAGCGAAAGCGUUAAGUAUUCCACCUGGGGAGUACGCCGGCAACGGUGAAACUCAAAGGAAUUGACGGGGGCCCGCACAAGCGGAGGAACAUGUGGUUUAAUUCGAUGAUACGCGAGGAACCUUACCCGGGCUUAAAUUGCAGAUGAAUUACGGUGAAAGCCGUAAGCCGCAAGGCAUCUGUGAAGGUGCUGCAUGGUUGUCGUCAGCUCGUGCCGUGAGGUGUCGGCUUAAGUGCCAUAACGAGCGCAACCCUUGUUGUCAGUUACUAACAGGUUCCGCUGAGGACUCUGACAAGACUGCCAUCGUAAGAUGUGAGGAAGGUGGGGAUGACGUCAAAUCAGCACGGCCCUUACGUCCGGGGCUACACACGUGUUACAAUGGGGGGUACAGAGGGCCGCUACCACGCGAGUGGAUGCCAAUCCCCAAAACCUCUCUCAGUUCGGACUGGAGUCUGCAACCCGACUCCACGAAGCUGGAUUCGCUAGUAAUCGCGCAUCAGCCACGGCGCGGUGAAUACGUUCCCG